UACAGAGGGGGCCAGCGUUAUUCGGAAUUAUUGGGCGUAAAGGGCGCGUAGGCGGCCAUGCGUGUCUUCCGUGAAAUCCCUCGGCUUAACUGAGGACGUGCGGAAGAAACUGCAAGGCUCGAGUCCGGGAGAGAAGGGUGGAAUUCCCAGUGUAGCGGUGAAAUGCGUAGAUAUUGGGAGGAACACCGGUGGCGAAGGCGGCCCUCUGGACCGGUACUGACGCUGAUGCGCGAAAGCGUGGGUAGCAAACGGG
rnacentral:rRNA from 1 species